AUUGAACGCUGGCGGCAUGCCUUACACAUGCAAGUCGAACGGCAGCACGGGAGCAAUCCUGGUGGCGAGUGGCGAACGGGUGAGUAAAGUAUCGGAACGUGCCCAGUUGUGGGGGAUAACGCAGCGAAAGCUGUGCUAAUACCGCAUACGAUCUGCGGAUGAAAGCGGGGGACCUUCGGGCCUCGCGCGAUUGGAGCGGCCGAUGUCGGAUUAGGUAGUUGGUGGGGUAAAGGCUCACCAAGCCAACGAUCUGUAGCUGGUCUGAGAGGACGACCAGCCACACUGGGACUGAGACACGGCCCAGACUCCUACGGGAGGCAGCAGUGGGGAAUUUUGGACAAUGGGCGCAAGCCUGAUCCAGCAAUGCCGCGUGCAGGAAGAAGGCCUUCGGGUUGUAAACUGCUUUUGUACGGAGCGAAAAGGCUCCCUCUAAUACAGGGGGCUCAUGACGGUACCGUAAGAAUAAGCACCGGCUAACUACGUGCCAGCAGCCGCGGUAACAC
rnacentral:rRNA from 1 species